AAGGGUAUAGCUCAGUGGCAGAGCACGUGCUUAACAUGCACGAGGUCCUGGGUUCAAUCCCCAGCAUCUCAA
rnacentral:tRNA from 1 species